UGCUGCUGGUUCUCUAGGGAGCAUGUGCACACUUGUCAUCUUUAUAUCUCCACCUGUGCACCUUUUGUAGACCUGGAUAUCUCUCUGAAUGCUAGUCACUCAGGUUUGAGGAUUGACUUCCUGUCUYYYCUUACAUUUYCAGGCCUAUGUUCUUCAUAUACCCCAAUGUAUGUUAUWGAAUGUAAUCAAUGGCCUUUGUGSCUAUAAUAAACCUAUACAACUUUCAGCAACGGAUCUCUUGGCUCUCGCAUCGAUGAAGAACGCAGCGAAAUGCGAUAAGUAAUGUGAAUUGCAGAAUUCAGUGAAUCAUCGAAUCUUUGAACGCACCUUGCGCUCCUUGGUAUUCCGAGGAGCAUGCCUGUUUGAGUGUCAUUAAUAUAUCAAUCUCUUCAGCUUUUGCUUGUCGAGUAUUGGAUGUGGGGGUUUUGUUUGCUGGUCUUCUCAGAUCAGCUCCCCUGAAAUGCAUUAGCGGAACAAUUUGUGGACCGUUCAUUGGUGUGAUAACUAUCUACGCUAUUGACGUGAAGCAGUUCAGCUUCUAAUAGUCCAUUGACUUGGACAAAUUUUCAUUAAUGUGACCUCAAA
rnacentral:rRNA from 1 species